rnacentral:rRNA from 1 species
GCUAGCAGCCAUACCACCCUGCAACUCACAACUGGUAACCUGCUGAAGAUAAGCAGGUGUGAGCCUGGUCAGUACCUGCAUGGUAGACCUCCUGGGAAAGCUAAGGUUGCUGCUGGAA